rnacentral:lncRNA from 1 species
CAGUGGCCCAGUCUCAGAUGCCGAUUGGCUUGCGAGAGUCGAAGGGGUGACACUCGUUUCGUGACAGGUGAACCUUGCCCCCGAAAGGACUGCCGGGCUUCAAACUUGGGAAACCCGAGGUCACAUGACUAGCCAGUCCUAGGGGGCCGCCAUCUUGAUACUACUGCUUGCCAGCUAGUGAGCUGUUGGCCGGGUGAGGCCCAAAACAGAGCAGCAGUUUCAGGAAACUUGUAUCUCGACCAGGAAGCACCAGUAGAUGGGAUGUUGCUGAAAAUGGAGGUUGUGAAUGAAGCAUUCCAGGAGGGAGCUUACUUUCCCCAUCCAGAUCUGGGGAACUUGCAGCAGAGUCACAGUCGCUUAAAAUUUCACUGCAAAUUACUUCAUCAGCCAUCUCAGCUUCAGUGAUCUGGGAUAACUAAAGUUGAGCACCGAAGACAAGCUCUAAAUGAUUGAAUACCCUGGAAGAAAGGUCUUUUAUACUAAUCUU